GAAGGUGACAGGUCUAGGAGUCUCCCCUGAUCUUCUUUGGGGUCCUGGCUUAAGAGACCACGUAUCUCAGCUGAGUUCAGUACUCCUCACAGCCACAGCCAUCUUGAGAUCUCUACACUGAUGAUGUUGUCUGUGUUUGGACUCUCCGUCCCCAUCUCGGCCACAGAGCUUCUCCUGGCCUCCUUUGUCUUCUGCCUGGUGUUCUGGGUGGUCAGGGCCUGGCAGCCUCGGGUUCCCAAAGGCCUGAAGAGUCCACCAGGGCCCUGGGGCUGGCCUCUGCUCGGGCAUGUGCUGACCUUGGGGAAGAACCCACAUCUGGUGCUGGCAAGGCUGAGCCAGCAUUACGGGGACGUGCUGCAAAUCCGCAUCGGCUCCACACCCGUGCUGGUGCUCAGCGGCCUGGACACCAUCCGGCAGGCUCUGGUGCGUCAGGGUGAUGAUUUCAAGGGGCGGCCCAAUCUCUACAGCUUCACUCUGAUCUCUGAGGGCCAAAGCAUGUCCUUCAGCCCAGACUCUGGACCGGUGUGGGCCGCCCGCAGGCGCCUGGCCCAGAACGCCCUGAAGAGUUUCUCCAUUGCCUCAGACCCGGCUUCCUCAUCCUCCUGCUACCUGGAAGACCAUGUGAGCAAGGAGGCUGAGUACCUCAUUGGCAAGUUCCAGGAGCUGAUGGCAAAAGUUGGGCACUUUGACCCCUAUAGAUAUGUAGUGGUGUCAGUGGCCAAUGUCAUCUGCGCCAUGUGUUUUGGCCGGCGCUAUGACCAUGAUGACCAAGAGCUGCUUAGCAUAGUCAACCUGAGUAAUGAGUUCGGGGAUGGCACUGCCUCUGGGAACCCUGUGGACUUCUUCCCCAUCCUUCGAUACCUACCCAACCCUGCCCUGGAUUUCUUCAAGGAUGUGAAUGAGAAGUUCUCCAUCUUCAUUCAUAAGAUGGUCAAGGAACACUACAAAACUUUUGAGAAGGGUCACAUUCGGGAUAUCACAGACAGCCUGAUUGAGCACUGUCAGGACAAGAGGCUGGACGAGAAUGCGAAUAUCCAGCUGUCCGACGAGAAGAUUGUUAACGUUGUCUCGGACCUCUUCGGAGCUGGAUUUGACACAGUCACAACUGCCAUCUCCUGGUGCCUCAUGUACCUGGUGACGAGCCCCAAUGUACAGGAAAAGAUCCAGAAGGAGCUGGACACAGUGAUUGGGAGGGAGCGGCAGCCCCGGCUCUCUGACAGACUCCAGCUGCCCUACAUGGAAGCAUUCAUCCUGGAGAUGUUCCGACAUACCUCCUUCGUCCCUUUCACUAUCCCCCAUAGUACCACAAAAGACACAAGUCUGAGUGGCUUUUACAUCCCCAAGGAGCGUUGUGUCUUUGUGAACCAGUGGCAGAUCAACCAUGACCAGAAGCUAUGGGGUGACCCAUCUGAGUUCCGACCAGAACGAUUUCUCACUCCUGAUGGCACCAUCAACAAGGCACUGAGUGAGAAGGUGAUUCUCUUUGGUUUGGGCAAGAGGAAGUGCAUCGGUGAGACCAUUGCCCGCUUGGAGGUCUUUCUCUUCCUGGCCAUCCUGCUGCAGCAGGUGGAAUUCAGUGUGCCACAGGGCACGAAGGUGGAUAUGACCCCUAUUUAUGGGCUGACCAUGAAGCAUGCCCGCUGUGAGCACUUCCAAGUGCGGAUGCGCACUUAGGGGUCUGAGAGCCCUGCAGCUUAGACUCUAUCUACCUGGCCUGUCUGGGCAGCCAGGCCAGGGGGCUGACCUGGGGUCUGGGGGGGGGGGGCGGUCUAAACCUUGGCCUGAAACCCACAGAUAUUGGUCUGGCUGAGUUUUGCUGUCUGGGCUGCAGGCAAGCAUGAAGGAUCAUGCCUGCCCCCCACCCUGGACUUGCUCCUUUGCAUAUUGACCACAGACAAUGGACACAGCAGGGGCCAAAAAAGGAGCAGAUGGAGCCUUCCAGAGUUGUGCUUGAGGCAGGAGGCUUGGUAGGGUUAGGAGCCCCUCAGGCCCCUGGAGACCUUGAGGGAAUUCUCUAGAAGCCUCUAAACCCAGUGGCUGGCUGGCUUUCUGUGGGGACUGACUGGUUUGAGAAACAUUUAGAUCAGGCCACAUCAGGGCCUGUCUAAUCUCUUUGACAAUUGGGAGCUGCCAAGAGUGAAGGGAAGAGGGAGCUUAGGCACAGAGGUGGUCUCCCAGAUUGAAUAAGGCUGAGCAGUCUAACCACAUGGGUCUGGGACACUGCGAUGCCUUCUUCUGUUCUCCCUGCAGGCAGGAACAGGGCUGCAUCCUGGCCUCGCAAGGACCCUGUUCCUGUCCAGGAGGGGCUGGGGGCUUGUGCCUAAGAGGAGCAGAGAACAGAGGGAGUGCCCAGAUUCAGGCACCUGAGUCAGGUCUCUAUGCCCAAUAUUAAAAUGCCUUUAAAAAAUGUUUAUAUGCAAGAAGUUUUAUAUUUUAGCCUGCAUUGUACUGGCAUGCCUUCAUUUAUCAUACGUAAGAGCUUAAGAACAAUUUAUUGAGUGCAAUAGAGAACAUUGUAACCCAAGUAUCCAGAAAUGUGUAAGAAAUUUCUACUUAAGCUAAAUAAAGAUAUUAUCC
rnacentral:lncRNA from 1 species